AUUGAACGCUGGCGGCAGGCCUAACACAUGCAAGUCGAGCGGAGCGUCGGCCGGGUGAGUAAUGCCUAGGAAUCUGACUGGUAGUGGGGGAUCACGUACGGAAACGGGCGCUAAUACCGCAUACUAUCAGAUGAACAUAGGUCGGAUUAGCUAGAUGGUGGGGUAAAGGCCAAAAAAGGCGACGAUCCGUAACGGGUCUGAGAGGAUGAUCAGUAAAACGGGAACAGAGACACGGUCCAGACUCCUACGUGAGGCAGCAGUGGGGAAGAUUGGACAAUGGGCGAAAGCCUGAUCCAGCCAUGCCGCGUGUGUGAAGAAGGUCUUCGGAUUGUAAAGCACUUUAAGUUGGGAGGCGUUACCAACAGAAUAAGCACCGGCUAACUUCGUGCCAGAAGCCGCGGUAAUUC
rnacentral:rRNA from 1 species